GACGAACGCUGGCGGCGUGCCUAAUACAUGCAAGUCGAGCGGACUAAUGGGAGCUUGCUCCCGUUAGUUAGCGGCGGACGGGUGAGUAACACGUGGGCAACCUACCUGUAAGACUGGGAUAACUUCGGGAAACCGGAGCUAAUACCGGAUGACACAAAGGAACUCCUGUUCCUUUAUUGAAAGAUGGCUUCGGCUAUCACUUACAGAUGGGCCCGCGGCGCAUUAGCUAGUUGGUGAGGUAACGGCUCACCAAGGCGACGAUGCGUAGCCGACCUGAGAGGGUGAUCGGCCACACUGGGACUGAGACACGGCCCAGACUCCUACGGGAGGCAGCAGUAGGGAAUCUUCCGCAAUGGACGAAAGUCUGACGGAGCAACGCCGCGUGAGCGAUGAAGGCCUUCGGGUCGUAAAGCUCUGUUGUUAGGGAAGAAUAAGUGCUAGUUGAAUAAGCUGGCACCUUGACGGUACCUAACCAGAAAGCCACGGCUAACUACGUGCCAGCAGCCGCCGUAA
rnacentral:rRNA from 1 species